UUUCGUUAUUUGAUUAAACUGGUUCAGGCUUGAUGAUUUACUUGGACUAGAAUCAAUAACAAAACUAAGGAGUGCAGAAAUAAAGUGACACCAGUAAUUUAUUCUACCUCACCACAAAGUUGGCUACAUGCAGCAGUCCGUUCACUAAAAAAGAUUUAACAUUACAAAGCACCUGAACCUCCAAACCAAUCUUCUCAAACAUCCUAAAUGCCCCAGACUUUUGAGGAUUAUACACCCCUUGACUCUACCAGCCAAGUCUUCUCUAAAAACCACAGGUUGUUGAAGGCACACUAACACCACUAUUGGGUUUGAAUACAAAGAUUGUUGUCGCAAAUUCUUGAGAUAAAACUUCAUUCCUAUUGCUUGUUUAGAUCUAAGCAGGAACAUAGUGUUGGACCAAUUCUUGAACUUUCACAAGUAGGAAUAUGGCUAAGUCCAAUUCAGUACUUUGUCCUUUGUCAAUAUCUGAAUCAUAUAUUUUCAAAUAAUAAAUGUAUCUUUUUGUGAGUGUUUCUUCUUGUAAACAAUUCUUGACCAUAUCUUUUUGUAAAUAGUUCAUAUCUUCUUGUAAAUAAUUCAAGUAUUCUUGUGAUAAACCUUGAUCAAAUCUUUUUGUAAA